ensembl:lncRNA
UUUAAGGGCUGACUGCCACUAGGGAAGGUUCUCUUUCUGGAGAUCCCUUCUUAGUGGAGCUUUUUCCUGGGAUCUUCUGAUAUGGAGACCUUGCGGUCACCGGGACACCGAUGACGCUUCUCUGUGUGAUGGAUGUGUUCACAGAAUUAGGCCCCAUGACACGGAAGUGGAUGCUGCUCCAAUUUUCUUUCAAGAAACACUACCGGAAUCAUCCUUAAGAUGAAAUUUCAUUUUAAAACUGCAUUCUUUCUCUAGCAAUGGGAACAUUAAGCCAUUCCAAUUGGUUUGUCAGCCAUGCUGAAGCAGCUGGAAGAGGUUAGAAUAGUGAAACUGGAGUCCACCUACCUGCUGGAAAAGUACAGCUGAAAGAGGCAAUUUCUAGACAACAAAGGGUAAGGAGGUGAGGUGAAGAUACUGUUGUUCUAGUGGCCAGAAGGGUGCUAUCAUCAAGUUAGUAAGAAUAAUGUUUUCCUUAGCUCUCAUGGGACUUCUUUGUCCAUGUGGAUCCAUUUCAAACACUUUUUCCCCUUUAAGCACUCCUUGAUAAUAAAAAAAACUGAUAUAAGCGCUCUUUCAUGGGAAGAAUCUCACUUUGGUCUGUGUAUUUUGUCUUCAGAAAACCAUAGGGCUCAGAGUGGGUACAGAAAGAGCUUAGUACUCAAAAAAUGCAGCCCGCAGCUGAGAGAAACUGCAAGAGCAGGGGUUAAUGGUACUGAGGGCUUCAUGGUUCAGCUGUUUGCAGAUCAGUAAUUAGAAUCCUCUGCUUACUGCAUUGAUCUCUCCCUGAGCAGCACUGUGAAAUACUACAGAGAGAUCUAUUAGUCAUAGAGAUAUUUGGGUGGGGGAAGGAAAUGAAACACUUCCCCCCACCGUUUCUAGGUAUUUGAGGGCAAGAAGAGUGUUCUUCUACCUUUAAGGAGAAGCUGUGGUCUGUCUCCAGGGCUGCUGGGGCAGGCUGUCUCCAUGAGGGGCAGCUGGAGCUGUGAGAGCACAAUGUGCCAUGGUUGUGAUAAAGGUGGGUGCAGCCUGUAUGCUGGUGCACACUUGGGGCUGCACUGUGUGGUGUGAGUAAUAACAUACCAGCACAGCAGGGGGAGAAGGUCUCCUGGCAUGUAACCUUUCUGCUGUUAAAUCCCUGCCUGAUCUGUGCAGAAAUGCUAGAGAAUGUGUGUGCUUUCCCUACUGUCUCUAAAGGGGCUGUAUUCCAGGUGGGAGCAGGGACUGAAUAUCAGUGUGAUACUCUUAUGAGUAAGACUGUAUCUGGUGUGACUUCUUAUGGAAGGUUUUGGAGAACCAGGGAACAGGGCUGCUGAGAAGGGAGUUGAGUCUGUGAAAGGAUCUGACUCUCACUUAGAUGUUUGCUUAAAAGCUGUGAGAAGAACAGAUGAGCUGCAACCAGAUGCUAAGGUGAUGGCAACACAGUCAGGGGCGUCUUGUAUUGUUGAAGACCAUUCUACUAAAGUUAAAAACAAGUCUAGAAAAGCCUUCUGACAGGGUUUUUUUUUUUAAUAAAAUGUAUCUCACAGUGAAACUAGGCUAACAAAUAGUACUGUAAAAUUAACUUCUGCUUGCCAUCACCCUUGUAAAUAAGCCUAUUUCUUAAUUCUCAUAUGAGGUAAUGAGAGAUUAAAACACAUCACUACUUAUGCUAACAAACUACAUGGGAAAUUGACUUUUGUCUUUAAAAAAAAAAAAACAGAGUUGUAGCUUUGGACACUGUGUCCAAACCAUACUAAGAAAUAUGUGUCAGCAGGAUCCGAGUUAGGGUUGUAAUGCUGCUGUCUAGCUAUAGAUCUUGAGACAAAGAAUCAAUAGGAACAAGUAAAUAAAAGUUGGUAAUGAGCCACAAAGGCCUAGUUUGUCAAUCUUCAUCUGAAAACAAACACUGUAUCCAACAUGGAGACUAGAAGUACUAACUCUCCUAAUUGUAAAGUAGUUAAUUAGUGUUUAGUUAUUUUCUGCUGAUUGUUUUAUGAGCUGCUUACAGCUUGGUAUCAAACUGUGAUGAUUACUGCAAUGAAAAUAGCAAGGAAAUGCCAAUUAUACGCUUGUUUACAGACAAUGAAUUCCACACAAUUUAGGUAAAAUAUUCUUUUCAACUUUCUGUUUGACCUCUUGUCCUAAUUAGCUUCUCUGUAUUGUCAUAAAGCUUAGGAGUUUUCUUUAACUAAUUUUAAAAUGACAAUUCUGGGUACUCCACAAAAGGUGUCUGGAGGAAAAAGUGUAAAGUUUGAUUUCCUCAAAUGCAAAGAUGAGAGAUACUAAAGCUAAGGUAAAAACAGUGGUCCAAAACAUGCUGCAUAUUGCUUUCUUAGCAGUGCCAGCAUGUUGAAGCAGUUCUGUGACAGGUUUCAGUGCUUUGUUUGUUAGUUUUGAUUAACUCCUUAUUCUUGUAAUACCAUGCAUUUAAGAGAAAAAAAAGUGUGCUUAUAAAGUCAGUCAAGAAAUUGUG